GGUGUGUGCUUGCCUGAAUAAAUGCUUGAAUGCUUGAUUGCAAAGCAUCCACUCUCGACUCUUGGCAUUUGUUCUGGUGACCGGGCUCGGUGUUCGCGACAGUUGGCGUAGUCGGCAGGAUCCUCGGAGGACACAAUUCCAGCUCCAACCCCAGCUUGGAGGAUCGAGGAGGACGAACACCCGGAUUGCAUUUUCUGAGAUCCACUUUUAUUUAUGGACCAGACCCGUUGGAUUUUGGACGCCGUAAUUUUUCAACGUUCGAUCCCAACAGACCUACUCCUGUAGCAACUGUACGGCCCUUUAUCCAAGCGCCGCCCAGCUCCCUCACCACCGCAACUCUUCACCCUUGGAGACACCCAACACUUGUUGGCGAACGACGAAUUCGUCGUCGUCGUAGGCGACUCAGCCUAUGACAUCUUUCCCAUUGGGUAUUCCCCUUGUCUCCUAUUUGUGAUCCAUCGGCGAUUCCUCUGGAACCACCGACGGAUCAGGGGGUGGAUUGAUAGGAACAGUCUGACUAUAAGUACUUUACAUUUACAUUGCUCCAGCAAAACAUGACCAUAAAUAAAAAUGGAGCUUU